ACGAGAAAGAAAAGAAAAACCCUAAGUUUUCCCUUACGUUUCCUCCGUUUAUCCAAGCCGCCAUCCCCCUCUUCUUCGUGAAAUCGACAGCUACCUCCGGAGACCCAUCUUUGUUGGCACAACACCACGACCCAAGAUAGCAAGCUCCGGCGAUCGUCUCCGUCCUUCACGAGCAACGGGUUUCGACCAUUUUUUGUUUCUUUAAAACCCUAACAUAUAUCUUCCUUUUCCUCUCAAUCUCCUUAAGCCAGUCGCCACCCCUUAUUUUCUCUCUUGUUUGUUAAACUAGCAACGCCACGAUUCUUAAACUAGAUCCGACAACGUGAGCRAUGUUGCAACCUAGAUCCACGAGCCAUAACAACAACCACCGACGACCCCCUUCAAGUAUUUCCAUUUUGUCUGUCUAAGAACUUACAAAUCGAACUAGAAAAUGGUCCCAAAAUUUGACUAAAAAUCCAGAAGCGGCAAGAAGUGAUCCUCAAAAYUGAUAAAAACGCAAAAAUCCAGGUGGUGGAAGAUACACCUUAUGAUAAUUGAACUCAACUUACCAAUAACAGUUUUGAACUUUACAUUACAAAUUGAUAUACAUGUUUGGUAGCACAAUAUUUCCAUGGAAUGUAACACUACAAACCUCAAAGCCUUUCCUAUGUAAUGCUCCAAAGCAAGUACCGUUCAUAUGUUUCCUUAGUUAUAGAUGAGCAAUUAAAGGGGUACGCGUAGGGUGUUGGUGCUCAUGUGUUUAGGGGAGUAGAAGUUGGUGCUCCUCAUGUGUUUAGGGGAGUUCUACUCCUCACGUUGUAACUAACCUUCACACUUCUUUACGUAAGUCAAGAUUGGGAACUAUUGAGAUAUUAAUGGAAGCAAGUGAUUGAGAGCAAUAAAAGCUUCAUACCUUUAGUUCAACCUCUUGAGACUCAUCCGUCACGAGUAGGUUGGUCUAUUGUUAUUUUAACUUUUUAAUGAAGUUAUURUUACUUAAUGAAAGAGCUGAUCUUAGUUUAUGAUAGUUGUGCAUUAAUGUCGUGAAUGUUGUUGAAUUCUAUAUGUGUUGUACUGGUUUGCUGAAUUCUAAUGGAGGUGUAUUAGGAUUUGUGAUGAUUGGAUUAGACGUGUUAUGUUUAUGCAUUUUAUUAAUAUUAUAUUGCAUGGUAUAAAUGUUUUGGUGGUUC